rnacentral:rRNA from 1 species
AUUGAACGCUAGCGGGAUGCCUUACACAUGCAAGUCGAACGGAGUGGCGAAAGUGUGAGUAAUGUAUCGGAACUUGCCACGUCGCGGGGGAUAACUACGAGAAAGCGUAGCUAAUAACGCAUACUAUUUGAGCGGCCGAUAUAGGCUUAGCUAGUUGGUGGGGUAACGGCCAACAACGGCGACUAUCCGUAGCUGGUUUGAGCGGACGACAAGCCACACUGGGACUGCGACACGGUCCAGACGCCGACGGGAGGCAGCAGUGGGGAAUUUUGCACAAUGGGGGAAAGCCUGAUCAAGCAAGCCCGCGUGUGCGAUGAAGGCCUUCGGGUUGUAAAGCACUUUUGGCAGGAAAGCGGUACCUGCAGAAUAAGCACCGGCUAACUACGUGCCAGCAGCCGAGGUAAUUC